rnacentral:rRNA from 1 species
GAUGAACGCUGGCGGCGUGCCUAAUACAUGCAAGUCGAGCGGAAGGACGCGGCUUUUGCUUCGCUGCUGUUAGGGGCGGGCGGGUGAGUCACACGAGGAUCCCCUCCCUAUCUGACUGGGAUCACUUCGGGAACCCGGAUAUUACACCGGAUAAUCUUUUGAAACGCAUGGUUCAUAAGAGAAAGUCGGCCUUGCUGUCACUACUCGCUGGUUCCAAGCUGGAUUAGUUAGUUGGUACGGUAACGGCUUACCACGGCAAGGAUGCCUAGCCGACCUGAGAGGGUGAUCGGCCACACUGGAACUGAGACACGGUCCAGACUCCUACGGGAGGCAGCAGUAGGGAAUCUUCCGCAAUGGGCGAAAGCCUGACGCAGCAACGCCGCGUGUGUGAUGAAGGUCUUCGGAUCGUAAAACUCUGUUAUUAGGGAAGAACAUAUGUGGAAUUAACUGUGCACAUCUUGACGGUACCUAAUCAAAAAGCAACGGCUAACUACGUG